rfam:Micromonospora lupini str. Lupac 08 genomic scaffold, 1951_scaffold4
CCGGUUCCGGUUCACGCCCGAGCCCGUCGCGUACGGCGCGACGAGUGAUGACGGCGACCCGGCGACC